AUUGAACGCUGGCGGCAUGCUUUACACAUGCAAGUCGAACGGUAACAGGUUAAGCUGACGAGUGGCGAACGGGUGAGUAAUGCAUCGGAACGUGCCCGAUCGCGGGGGAUAACGCAGCGAAAGCUGCGCUAAUACCGCAUGCGAUCUGAGGAUGAAAGCGGGGGACCGUAAGGCCUCGCGCGAUCGGAGCGGCCGAUGUCAGAUUAGGUAGUUGGUGGGGUAAAGGCUCACCAAGCCAACGAUCUGUAGCGGGUCUGAGAGGACGACCAGCCACACUGGGACUGAGACACGGCCCAGACUCCUACGGGAGGCAGCAGUGGGGAAUUUUGGACAAUGGGCGAAAGCCUGAUCCAGCAAUGCCGCGUGCAGGAAGAAGGUCUUCGGGUUGUAAACUGCUUUUGUACGGAGCGAAAAAGCUCUCUCUAAUACAGGGGGCUCAUGACGGUACCGUAAGAGUAAGCACCGGCUAACUACGUGCCAGCCGCCGCAGUAA
rnacentral:rRNA from 1 species